rnacentral:rRNA from 1 species
GACAGAGGUGCCGAGCGUUAGGCGGAAUCACUGGGCUUAAAGCGUGUGUAGGCGGGUCGUUAAGUGCCUUGUGAAAUCCCACAGCUCACCUGUGGAACUGCUUGGCAUACUGGCGAUCUUGAGCCACUUAGGGGCAACCGGAACAAACGGUGGAGCGGUGAAAUGCGUAGAGAUCAGGAGGAACACCCGUGGCGAAGGCGGCUCUCUGGUCGACCUCUGACGCUGAGACGCGAAAGCGUGGGGAGCGAACGGG